rnacentral:lncRNA from 1 species
AUGUAAUCCAUGUACCCUUUUCCAAUCAUCUUCUAUGGCUUUCUCCAGAUCUUUUUCUCUAACAGUCUUUCUCUCCCGUGUAAGGCUGUGCCCACACAGACAGCAAAGCCCCCUCUCAAACUUGCGCAGAUCUGAAUGUACUCACAUCUACAUGUAACUAGUUUAGUUCUGUUUCAGAGCUUGAGCUGUGGCCCCGUAAGAACACCAGAACACUGCAUGAGGACAGUCUUUCGACCCUGUGCUACACCUUCUGCAUCUGAGGGUAACCCGGAUCCAGUAAGAGCAUCUCCAAUCAUCCCUUCAUAG